AUGCCACGAGGAGACUUGCAUAAACUACUAUACUCAACUCAAGACCGUGAAUGCUCUUCAUAUUUGAACCUCAUUAUGAUGGCUCAAAGGAUAAGGAUUGUGGUGGACGUGGCGGAUGCACUGGAGUAUCUACACCAUAAUAACCAAGAAACAAUGAUUCACUGUGAUCUGAAGCCUAGCAACAUUCUUUUGGAUGACAAUAUGACAGCUCAUGUUGGAGACUUUGGCCUGGCAAGAUUCAAAGUUGGUUCCACAAUGUCAUCUCUUGGUAACUCCAACUCUUCUUCUGUUGCAGUAAUGGGGACGAUUGGAUACGCCGCUCCAGAAUAUGCUGGGGGCGGUCAAGUUUCAACUGCCGCGGAUGUUUACAGCUUUGGUGUUGUUCUCCUCGAGAUAUUUGUUCGAAGAAGGCCAACGGAUGACAUGUUUAAGGAUGGACUCAACAUUGUGAACUUUAUAGAGGCCAGCUUCCCCGGUAGGGUAUUGGAGACUGUCGACCCCCAACUGCUACAGGAGUUGGAGGAAACUCCAAUGGCCUUGAAGGAAAAAUGUUUAGAAUGUCUUUUGUCUAUGCUAAAGGUUGGCCUUUCUUGCACCAAGCCAUCUCCCGGUGAUCGUAUCAACAUGCAGGAGGUGGCUGCCAAGCUACAUGGAAUCAAUGAUGCUUACCUCAAUGGUAACUGA
rnacentral:rRNA from 1 species